rnacentral:misc_RNA from 1 species
UGCUUGAUGAGGUUAUCAAGGUGAUGGUGGCUUCAAAAAGUCUUUCUUUUUUCUUUUUGUUGGAAAAACCAAGAUCAGUUGAUAGAAGUCUCUUACAUAAUAGGGAAUUAUUGUGAAAGAAUGGUUUACAAGGUGCAACGUAAAGGGAACUCUUUGUUCUUCUCUUUUAUAUAAUGGAGUUGUAUAUGAUGUACACAACACAUAAAUAUGCAUUUUAAAUAUACUGUUCCUUUUUUCUUUUUGGCCAAAGAACUGUUCUUGCUGAGUAAAAUAAAUAUGGAUGUUCAUCAUUUCUAACUGUUUAAUCUGCAUGUCUCCCCUGUUUUUCCACAUUAUAGAUA